GCGUGCCAUUAGCUAGUUGGGGGAGGUAACGGCUCACCAAGGCGACGAUGGCUAGGGGAGCUGAGAGGCUGGUCCCCCACACGGGCACUGAGAUACGGGCCCGACUCCUACGGGAGGCAGCAGUAGGGAAUAUUGGGCAAUGGUCGAGAGACUGACCCAGCCAUGCCGCGUGCAGGAUGAAGGCUUUCUGAGUCGUAAACUGCUUUUAUCAGGGAAGAAUAAGGCUCUUGCGAGGGCUGAUGACGGUACCUGAGGAAUAAGCACCGGCUAACUCCGUGCCAGCAGCCGCGGUAAUACGGAGGGUGCCAAGCGUUGUCCGGAUUUAUUGGGUUUAAAGGGUGCGUAGGUGGGUGCUUAAGUCUGUUGAAAGCAGGUGGCUCAACCAUCUGAUGUGGCUGGAAACUGGGCGUCUUGAAUGGGUUGGCG
rnacentral:rRNA from 1 species